rnacentral:rRNA from 1 species
CUACGGAGGGUGCAAGCGUUAAUCGGAAUUACUGGGCGUAAAGCGUACGUAGGCGGUUCGUUAAGUUAGAUGUGAAAGCCCCGGGCUUAACCUGGGAACUGCAUUUAAAACUGGCGAACUAGAGUUGAGUAGAGGGGAGUGGAAUUUCAGGUGUAGCGGUGAAAUGCGUAGAGAUCUGAAGGAACACCAGUGGCGAAGGCGACUCCCUGGACUCGAACUGACGCUGAGGUACGAAAGCGUGGGUAGCAAACGGGAUUAGAUACCCUUGUAGUCC